GACGGGACCCGCACAAGCGGUGAGCAUGUGGUUUAAUUCGACGAUACGCGAAGAGCCUUACCUGGCCUUGACAUACUAAAAAGCUUUAAGAGAUUAGAGUGUGCUAGCUUGCUAGAAUUUAGAUACAGGUGCUGCACGGCUGUCGUCAGCUCGUGUCGUGAGAUGUUGGGUUAAGUCCCGCAACGAGCGCAACCCUCGUGUUUAGUUGCUAACAGUUCGGCUGAGAACUCUAAACAGACUGCCUACGCAAGUAGGAGAAAGGUGAGGACGACGUCAAGUCAUCAUGGCCCUUACGGCCAGGGCUACACACGUGCUACAAUGGGGUAUACAAAGAGCAGCGAUACGGUGACGUGGAGCAAAUCUAGAAAAUGCCUCUCAGUUCGGAUUGUAGUCUGCAACUCGACUACAUGAAGUUGGAAUCGCUAGUAAUCGUAGAUCAGCAAUGCUACGGUGAAUACGUUCCCGGGUCUU
rnacentral:rRNA from 1 species